GGCUGCCAGAGCUCCAGGAGAGCUCGGACAGCGCUGCCAGGGAUGCCCAGGGUGGGGCUGUCGGGAGGUCUGGGCAGAGGCUGGACUGGAUGAUCCCUGUGGGUCCCUUCCAACUCAGCCUAUUCUGUAAUCAUGUCAUCUGAUUCUGUAAUCAUCCAUUACAUGACUGAUACAGCUUCAAAUAUUUUUGUUGGAAGAAUAUAUUUUUUUCUUUGUAGAAUAUUUUACCUGUUUGUUUUUAGAUCAGCAAGAUUUCUGAGAUGGAGGGAAAGUCUGACUUCAGAGUGGCCCUUUGCAAUUUCACUGUUGCUGUUUCCUUCCUGUUGAAUCACCAGGUCCGGCUUAGCUGUGAUUCAUGAAACUCAGCACCUGAGGACAUUUGCUGCAGAGACACUUGUAUCUGCUUUUUGAUAAAUGUAACCAAUAAAUCCCUUCUGUAUUUCAAA